rnacentral:lncRNA from 1 species
GUGAUCUUUUUGAACGACGUCACGUUUCGUAUUUCUCCCAGCCUCUUUUUGUGCCCUCUUCGUCGUGCGUGCUAGCAUCGUUCCGUGCGGUACGUGCCAGCAUGAGGGCCAAGUGGCGUAAGAAGCGGAUGCGAAGGUUGAAGCGCAAACGCAGGAAGAUGCGUGAGAGGUCCAAGUAGGCCGGACCCACGAGUGGUGGAAGACACACCCAGCUGCUGGCAGAGGGAGUGUGUCCCAAGACGGCACCUUUUGACUUCCUGCCUGGACUGUGCCACCACCACCGCCUGGCUGCUGCAUCGGAUGGCGCCCUUGCUCUUACAUGACGGACCCAAGCUCUCGAUCUGAGCAAGGCACGCCUCCGGACAUUGGAUCAUCAACUGUGCGUCCAUUAAAACCUCAUCUCGGAAA